AGACAGCAGAUCACUCCCAAGAGAAUGUUCACAGUGUUCACAGUUCUCGCAAUCAAUGUCAUACCAUGCAGGCUGUACUUUCCUGGCGUUCUGUGCCACAUUACUCUUAGGUUUCUGUUCCUGGACACACGAUGUUAGUAUGUCAUUGAGCAUUGACACUGCUGAAUUAAUAUCUGUAUUCAAGCGACAGUGAAAUUUGUCUAGCAUAUCUUGUGACUGGCAAAGAUAAUUGACAUCAUUUGAAUAAGUACUGGAUAUCUUGAAUCUAGGAAUUCAUCUUCAGAUUCAGUGCUGUAGUUUCAUUUUCUGCACCUGUGAAUAAGUUUGAAAAAGUACACACAACGGGCAUGUGAUCGGACUCUGUUCUUGGAAUCACUUCCAGAUCACGCAAUUCGUUGAACAUUUCACUUGAUACAAUAAAGUAGUCAACAAUACUGGUACCUGAAUGUGAAAUAAAUGUGUAAUUACUCGGUGAA